rnacentral:lncRNA from 13 species
AUGGGGGACAACAACUGUACAUUGUUGUUAUCCCUACUUCCUGGUUUUGGGAACUUUUGUUUCUCGUCUCAUGAAUGGAAGAGGAAGUCAUUAGAAUAUUGUAGCCUGCUGUUCCAGUCAUCAGAAUAUUGUAGCCUGCUGUUCCAGUCAUCAGAAUACUGUAGCCUGCUGUUCCAGUCAUCAGAAUACUGGAGCCUGCUGUUCCAGUCAUCAGAAUACUGUAGCCUGCUGUUAGUCAUCAGAAUACUGUGGCCUACUGCUACAGUACAACAUACUCAUGGCUCUGCUGACUCACCCAUAAAGAGGGAAAUUGAGGAAUCAAACCAAUUUUACAGUUUUUUUUUUUUAUUGUAUCAAACUAUUCUGGACCUACUUUAGUUGUUUUAGCAUUAAGUCAGAACUUGUAUCAUUAAAACAUUGAAAUACAUUCUCUGCCAUUAACAGUGAUUUAGGGGCUUCAGUUAUGACUAUGGCUUAUGCUGUUUAGCACUUUUGUAUAAUUAAAGAAUGGUACACUUUUUAUUAAUGUUCAUGUGUUCUAAUUCACUGCUGUUGAAAGCAUGGAAAAUUGUCCUGAGGUAAGCAUGAGUUAGUUUUAUUAUGAGUUAAAUAUUAAACCAGUGUAAAGGCUCAACAUGUUCAGUGGAGUGAAUGAUGCUCACAGUGAGUUGAGUUGUAACUGCUGACUCCUGAAAGACACUCCCUGGGAAAUGAGUGCAGACCAAUGGGUGGAGAUUCAGAGGGUUACUCAACUGAUCAAACAAAGUGUGAUGGGUUUGCCCCUGUUACUGGGUAUGGCCAAGGGGCACCAGGCUGUCUUACAGAAAGUGUGAUGGGGGCUUGUCUGCCCCUGUUACUGGGUAUGGCCAAGGGGCAUCAGGCUGUCUUACACCAGUAGCUGAUUGUUUACACCACCAUUGAUAAAAGACAGUACUGUGCAGCCGUCUUCAUCGACCUGGCCAAAGCUUUCGACUCUUGUCAAUCACCGUAUUCAACAGCCUUGGUUUCUCUAAUGACUGCCUCGCCUGGUUCACCAACUACGCCUCAGAGUUCAGUGUGUUAAAUCGGAGGGUCUGUUNNNNNNNNNNUUAACCUGAUCAUUAAAUCACAAUAUUACAACCCUUCUAUAACUUUAACCUGAUCAUUAAAUCCGAAUGAACAAUCUCACUGAUCGUGAAUAGAAUGUGAAAUGCCGAUGACCAUUUAAGACACAACUUCAUCUGUCGCUUCAUCUGUUUUCCAGUUCUGUUGUCCAUAUGUUCGUUGCUUUGUGACCCGAACCCGGACGACCCCUUAGUUCCAGACAUAGCACAGAUCUACAAACUAGACAAAGAGAAGUGAGUAUAUUGUAACUGUGUAAAGUGUUACGCCUAUUUCUCCAAUGAGCUGCUGGAACCAAAUUNNNNNNNNNNCUGCUGUUGAAAGCAUGGAAAAUUGUCCUGAGGUAAGCAUGAGUUAGUUUUAUUAUGAGUUAAAUAUUAAACCAGUGUAAAGGCUCAACAUGUUCAGUGGAGUGAAUGAUGCUCACAGUGAGUUGAGUUGUAACUGCUGACUCCUGAAAGACACUCCCUGGGAAAUGAGUGCAGACCAAUGGGUGGAGAUUCAGAGGGUUACUCAACUGAUCAAACAAAGUGUGAUGGGUUUGCCCCUGUUACUGGGUAUGGCCAAGGGGCACCAGGCUGUCUUACAGAAAGUGUGAUGGGGGCUUGUCUGCCCCUGUUACUGGGUAUGGCCAAGGGGCAUCAGGCUGUCUUACACCAGUAGCUGAUUGUUUACACCACCAUUGAUAAAAGACAGUACUGUGCAGCCGUCUUCAUCGACCUGGCCAAAGCUUUCGACUCUUGUCAAUCACCGUAUUCAACAGCCUUGGUUUCUCUAAUGACUGCCUCGCCUGGUUCACCAACUACGCCUCAGAGUUCAGUGUGUUAAAUCGGAGGGUCUGUUGUUCGGACCUCUGGCAGUCUCUAUGGGGGUGCCACAGGUUUCAAUUCUCGGGCUGACUCUUUUCUCUGUAUAUAUCAACGAUGUCGCUGCUGGUGAUUCCUUGAUCCACCUCUACGCAGACGACACCAUUCUGUACACAUCUGGCCCUUCUUUGGACACUGUGUUAACAAGCUUCCAAACAAGCUUUUGACUCACAUCAAAUAUCUCCAAUCCAAAGCUAAACUGAGAAUCGGCUUCCUAUUUCGCAACAAAGCAUCCUUCACUCAUGCUGCCAAACAUACCCUUGUAAAACUGACCAUCCUACCGAUCCUUGACUUUGGCGAUGUCAUUUACAAAAUAGCCUCCAAUACUCUACUCAGCAAAUUGGAUGCAGUCUAUCACAGUGCCAGCCAUCCGUUUUGUCACCAAAGCCCCACUGUCACCAAAGCCUAAUUUUCUACCCACCAAUGCUCUCGUUGGAUGGCCCUCGCCUCAUACUUAUCGCCAAACCCACUGGCUCCAGGUCAUCUACAAGACCCUGCUAGGUAAAGUCCCCCCCUUAUCUCAGCUUGCUGGUCACCAUAGCAGCACCCACCUGUAGCACGCACUCCAGCAGGUAUAUCUCUCUGGUCACCCCCAAAACGAAUUCUUCCUUUGGCCUCCUCCUUCCAAUUCUCUGCUACCAAUGACUGGAACGAACUACAAAAUUCUCUGAAACUGGAAACACUUAGCUCCCUCACUAGCUUUAAGCACCAGCUGUCAGAGCAGCACCUGUACAUAGCCCAUCUAUUAUUUAGCCCAAACAACUACCUCUCCCCCUAUUGUAUUUAUUUAGCUCCUUUGCAUCCCAUUAUUUCUAUCUCUACAUUUUUUCCACUGCAAAUCUACCAUUCCAGUGUUUUACUUGCUAUAUUGUAUUUACUUUGUCACCAUGGCCUUUUUUUUGCCUUUACCUCCCUUAUCUCACCUAAUUUGCUCACAUUGUAUAUAGACUUAUUUUUCUACUGUAUUAUUGACUGUAUGUUUGUUUUACUCCAUGUGUAACUCCGUGUUGCUGUAUCUGUCGAACUGCUUUGCUUUAUCUUGGCCAGGUCGCAAUUGUAAAUGAGAACUUGUUCUCAACUGGCCUACCUGGUUAAAUAAAGGUGAACACAAAUAAAAAAAUAUCGCAGCAUUUAUCAUUUAUAUAAAUUAAACCCAUGGG